rnacentral:rRNA from 1 species
UACGUAGGGCGCAAGCGUUAUCCGGAAUUAUUGGGCGUAAAGAGCUCGUAGGCGGUUUGUCGCGUCUGCCGUGAAAGUCCGGGGCUCAACUCCGGAUCUGCGGUGGGUACGGGCAGACUAGAGUGGAUGAGGGGAGACGUGGAAUUCCUGGUGUAGCGGUGAAAUGCGCAGAUAUCAGGAGGAACACCGGUGGCGAAGGCGGGUCUCUGGGCCGAUACUGACGCUGAGGAGCGAAAGCGUGGGGAGCGAACAGG